rnacentral:rRNA from 1 species
AGUAAAUAGAUACCCUGGUAGUCCACGCCGUAAACGAUGAGUACUAGGUGUAGGAGGUAUCGACUCCUUCUGUGCCGCAGUUAAACACAAUAAGUACUCCGCCUGGGAAGUACGGUCGCAAGAUUAAAACUCAAAGGAAUUGACGGGGGCCCGCACAAGCAGCGGAGCAUGUGGUUUAAUUCGAAGCAACGCGAAGAACCUUACCUAGACUUGACAUCUCCUGAAUAGUGUAGAGAUACAUGAAGCCCUUCGGGGCAGGAAGACAGGUGGUGCAUGGUUGUCGUCAGCUCGUGUCGUGAGAUGUUGGGUUAAGUCCCGCAACGAGCGCAACCCUUAUUACUAGUUGCUACCAUUAAGUUGAGCACUCUAGUGAGACUGCCCGGGUUAA